UUACGGACAUAUCACGUUGAAACACCCGUCUCCGUACGAUCACCGAAGUUAAGCAACGUCGAACCGAGUGAGUACCUAGAUGGCUCACCGCUUGGGAAUACCAGCUGAUGUAAG